UUGAACGCUGGCGGCAGGCCUAACACAUGCCAGUCGAACGGUAACAGGAAGAAGCUUGCUUCUUUGCUGACGAGUGGCGGACGGGUGAGUAAUGUCUGGGAAACUGCCUGAUGGAGGGGGAUAACUACUGGAAACGGUAGCUAAUACCGCAUAAUGUCGCAAGACCAAAGAGGGGGACCUUCGGGCCUCUUGCCAUCGGAUGUGCCCAGAUGGGAUUAGCUAGUAGGUGGGGUAACGGCUCACCUAGGCGACGAUCCCUAGCUGGUCUGAGAGGAUGACCAGCCACACUGGAACUGAGACACGGUCCAGACUCCUACGGGAGGCAGCGGUGGGGAAUAUGGCACAAUGGGCGAAAGCCUGAUGCAGCUAUGCCGGGUGUAUGAAGAAGGCCUUCGGGUUGUAAAGUACUUUCGGCGGGGAGGAAGGGAGUAAAGUUAAUACCUUUGCUCAUUGACGUUACCCGAAGAAGAAGCACCGGCUAACUCCGU
rnacentral:rRNA from 1 species